rnacentral:sRNA from 1 species
AUCCUCCAAAUGUACAUAUUAUUGGAAAUCUGCCUUUUAGUGUUUCAACUCCACUGAUUAUCAAGUGGCUUGAAAAUAUUUCCUGUAGAGAUGGACCUUUUGUUUAUGGCAGAACUCAGAUGACUUUGACUUUUCAAAAGGAAG